rnacentral:rRNA from 1 species
UACGUAGGGGGCAAGCGUUGUCCGGAUUUAUUGGGCGUAAAGAGCGUGUAGGCGGCCGUACAGGUCAGCUGUGAAAACUCGAGGCUCAACCUCGAGACGUCGGUUGAAACCGUACGGCUAGAGUCCGGAAGAGGAGAGUGGAAUUCCCGGUGUAGCGGUGAAAUGCGCAGAUAUCGGGAAGAACACCCGUGGCGAAGGCGGCUCUCUGGGACGGUACUGACGCUGAGACGCGAAAGCUAGGGGAGCAAACAGG